rnacentral:rRNA from 1 species
AUUGAACGCUGGCGGCAGGCCUAACACAUGCAAGUCGAACGAGUGGCGGACGGGUGAGUAAUGUCUGGGAAACUGCCUGAUGGAGGGGGAUAACUACUGUAAACGGUAGCUAAUACCGCCUACCCUCCGAUGUGCCCAGAUGGGAUUAGCUAGUUGGUGGGGUAACGGCUCACCCAGGCGACGAUCCCUAGCUGGUCUGAGCGGAUGACCAGCCACACUGGAACUGAGACACGGUCCAGACUCCGACGGGAGGCAGCAGUGGGGAAUAUUGAAAAAUGGGCGCAAGCCUGAUGCAGCCAGGCCGCGUGUAUGAAGAAGGCCUUCGGGUUGUAAAGUACUUUCAGCGGGGAGGCGUUACCCGCAGAAGAAGCACCGGCUAACUCCGUGCCAGCAGCCGCGGUAAUAC